rnacentral:rRNA from 1 species
UGGGGAAUAUUGGACAAUGGGGGCAACCCUGAUCCAGCAAUGCCGCGUGUGUGAAGAAGGUCUUCGGAUUGUAAAGCACUUUCGACGGGGACGAUGAUGACGGUACCCGUAGAAGAAGCCCCGGCUAACUUCGUGCCAGCAGCCGCGGUAAUACGAAGGGGGCUAGCGUUGCUCGGAAUGACUGGGCGUAAAGGGCGUGUAGGCGGUUUACACAGUCAGAUGUGAAAUCCCCGGGCUUAACCUGGGAGCUGCAUUUGAUACGUGUAGACUAGAGUGUGAGAGAGGGUUGUGGAAUUCCCAGUGUAGAGGUGAAAUUCGUAGAUAUUGGGAAGAACACCGGUGGCGAAGGCGGCAACCUGGCUCAUGACUGACGCUGAGGCGCGAAAGCGUGGGGAGCAAACAGGAUUAGGAUACCCUGGUAGUCCACGCUGUAAACGAUG